GCGGCCGCGGAGCAGCGCGCGCGGCGCGGAGCUGCAAGCGGCGGCGGCGGCGGCGGCGGCGGCGGCGGCGACGACGACGACGACGACGACGACGACGACGAACGGGGGGUCCCGGGUGCAACUCCGGGCGGUGCAAACACACAUCCCACCCCUCCACCCCCCACGCCCCGUGCCUCUCCGAAAGAGAGGGAAAAGGAAGAGAUCUGAAAAAAAAAUUAUUACGCCUUUUAUUUUUUUUUUUAUUUUUAAUUAUUUUUAUAUUUAAUUUGGGGCGGGGGGUCACUUUCGCGUCUAAAAGCAACCCUCCCCCUGAAAAAAAAACAAAAAACAAACCAACCCAGCGAGCAAAGCCAGGAUCCUGCUGCAUUGCACUGGAUUUUUACUUUCUUUUUUUUUUUUUUUUUUUUUGUAAUUAUUUUUCCCUCAAUCAGCUUUUUUUAUAAUUUUUGCAAACAGCCACGUUCAGCUCACGGCCUCCGACGGGAUUUACUCUCGGGGAAAGAAGCUUUUUCCUUAAAGACACCCACCCCCACCCCCACCCCCCCCCCCCAUGUACUCCCUUCCCUUCUUCCUUUUUGUUUUGAAUUUUUCUUUUUUUUUUUUUAUGAUUUUUGUAUUUCUUUGCCAGGAUUCUCCAGACAAAAAAAAAGAUGAUUUUUUUUUUUUUUUGAUCCGUUUUCUCUUUUCCUUUCCAGGACUCUGGAGUGGUGGGUUAAUUCUUUGUAGCUGUUGUUACUAUUGUUGCAAUAUAACCUGUAAGUCUGUAAAUACUCUGCUUGUAUGGAAAUGUCGGACUGUGCUGGGGAUGCAAAACCGCGCUGGCUUUGCUGGAAGGGGUUUGAUUUCGGCACUUUUUGCCUCUGGCUGGGCAGAGGCCUCUUUGCCGGUGGGCUGGGGCGGCGGGAGGGCAAUAAUGCAAAACCUUUGCAAGCCCUGGCUCGGCUGGGCUUUGCAAGGGGGUGCAGAGGGAGGGGGCCCAUCACCCCGGCCUUCCCCCGGACCUCUAUGGAAAUGUAUGACCCUGUAUGUAAAUCCGUCGAGAUUUCUACCUCUCUGUCCCCCAGCCUUGAGUAUUUAUUCCGAGCGGGCCUGCUGCGCGGUUGCUCUCCGGAGGGGUGGCUCAGCACAUCCAAGGCUCAUUUGUCUUCCCCCGUCGGGUUUGGGGGCUGUGGGGUGCGGUGGCGGGGAGCAGGGGGAAGGCACGCUCCGCGAUGCCAUUCCCGGGCCGUUGCAAUUAAUAGAAAUUUGUUUACGAGAAUAACCACCGCAGGUCACGGUGCCCUCGGUCCACUAAUGCAAUUGCUCAGAGCUACUGAUUCAGCUACCGCCGAGCCCCGCGGAGCGGCCACCUUGAACGCAAAGUCCCCAGCUUGUGACGCUGUCGCUGCAGCCGGAGCGGGUGCCCAGCGGAGCCCGGUGCCCGCGGGACGGCCGGUAGCAGCGAGGGGGCUGCUGCUCGGGGUUGUGAUUUGGCAGAGACCCGAGGUCGAGCACGGCUUCUGUUCAAGUAGCACUUUUAUGGGGGAGAUGUCUCGCUCUGCCCGGCCACCGCCAAGCCGGGCUUGCAUCAGAGUUUCCAUCCUCUCCCCCCUCCUUACAGGGACGUAGAGAGCAGCCACCAGCAGCCCCUCUGGGCUGGGAACUGGGCGGCCUGGGUGCCUCUGUGGCGUUUUUGGCCUUUCUGCUCUGGUUCUGUACCUUCUCUUCCCUGCUCUCCAUCACCCAGGGCCCGGCCACAGCUCUCUGGUGGCUCCUGCCACCCACUCCCACCUCCCACUGCUUCCUGCUGUCCCCCAAAGCAGCCCAGGUCCCUGCAGUGCCUCACAGGGGGCUUCGGGGUGCCGGGGAUAGGGUUGUCUCCCUGGGACCCCUCUCCCCCCAUUGGCCAGCAGGGUCAGGGCCAAGCGAGGCCUUGUCACCCUCUCCCCUCGCCUGUCCCAUCUGGGUCGCAGCUCUGGGGACCAGCGUGGCAGGCGGUGGUGGUGGCUGCCAGGCGGGUAGGGUGGCGAUGCCCCACGGGAUGGCCUCCCUCGCCUCUGCUGGCCCGCAGCAAGCGGCUUGGCUGUGCAGGGGGAAGGUGGAAGGGGGAAGGAAGCCCCCGUGUUGGCUGCGGGACGCUCCCCACCAGCCUUGGGGCAGCUCCCGUGCACCCACGAGGUGCCUGUGCGGCACCAGGAGGGGCAGCAGCUCGGCCCCACCAGUGGGGAGCUGCAGUCACCCCGCUGUGGGGGGCCAGCCUCAUGCAUCCCCCUCUCGAAAACACCCUUCUCCCUGGAGAGACCCCCUCACCCAGGCAGGGGUUUGAACCCUGAUGCGCUGCCUGGCGGUGCUGGGACAAGGACGAUGCUGCUGGAGAACUCCCCUUGGAGUUGGCAGGGGUAUUUCUGGACACACUCCGAGGAGUGGGAGCGGAGUCAGGAGCAGCACUGGGCAUCGCUACAGGUGCCUCAAACCGCUCUGUGGGCAUCCUGCUCCAGCCUCUCCAUUGUCCCCCUGGCAAAGCUCCUCGGAUGGAAAGCAGCCCCUCUGCCUGCAUGUUGGCGUGUGGGGCACAAAACGGUGUGAAAUUAUUUAGCCCUCCCUGAGAGCUGCAGUUUGCUGGUGGAGGCCCUUGGAGCUGGAGGGGCACCUCUGCCGUGAUGGGAGCCCCCGGGGCUGGGGUCGUCCCCCCCCAGGGAACACAGAGCGGGUUUUUAAGCAGCGUUGAGGCCAGUGCGUAUUUUUCCCAGGUGAACUGCACUUCUGGAAAGAAGUGCUGCUGCUUCUACAAAAUACUGCUUAAAUAAACAGUGCCCCACUAUAAUUUUUCUUUCGAAAUUAACUCCUUCAGGCCAUGAGGCUUACCCAUCACUGUACAAAAUAGCUGCCAGGACUUUUAAAGAAAACAAAAAUCGUGUCUGGGAGAGAAAAGUUUAGCCUGACAGAAGAGAGCCGGUAAAUCUCUCCCCUUCCCCGUGGCAGUUGAGGAUGGGUUGCGGGAGCAGCCUGACCAUUUUGGAGCCGGGUGCCGCUGCACAAACGUUACUUAAAAGGAGUUUUGUGCAUAUUAAUGUGCGUGCACUGAGGCCAGGCUGCACGCUGCGCAGGGACAGCCUAUUCCCUGGCUGUAUUGAACUAUCUUGUUUUCUAAUCUAACCUACUUUUUUUCUUUUUCUUUUUUUCUUUUUUUCUUUUUUUUUGUCAGAGGUUGGUGCUUUGCAGGAACCUGUUCUUAGUGCAAUCUCAGAGCUUUUUGUGGGUGUCUGAUUUCUGUAACACGUUUUGGUUUCCAGUAUGAAUGUAACGUACAGAGAAUAUCAUGACACUGCUCUAGGUGUAUGUGAUCUUAUCUACCUGACAUUUAGGGUUUUUUUAACCGUCCAAUUCUCCUGAUUUGCAUAAAAAUCACAUGAUUUUUCUUUUUUCCUUCUUUUUUUCAUGCAUCAUCAUAACAAACUACUCAGGUUUACCAGGCUGUUUUCUGCCUGUCAGCAUGAAUGCAGGGCCUGUCUCUCUCCCCCUCCUUCCUCCCCAGUGAAGGCUGGGGAUGUGGAAGGUGGCACUUGGAGGGGACCUGUGAUCCCUGCCAGCCACUGAGAUCCUUAAUAAGUGAACGUGUACCGUUUAACUUCCAGGAAAACAAAGCAGCUCAGCACACAUUCCAUCCGAUUCUUGUUAAUUUAAACAGAUGAGACUCCUUUUUAUUGAUAAGGAAACUCCCCCGGAACAGCCCCCUGCAUCCCAGAAGGCUCCCCCUGCCGUGGCCGUCCUCAUUACAAAACAAGGCCGCAAUUAAAAUAAACUCCAAGAGCUAAACAAA